UAGUCAUAUGCUUGUCUCAAAGAUUAAGCCAUGCAUGUCUAAGUAUAAGCACUUGUACUGUGAAACUGCGAAUGGCUCAUUAAAUCAGUUAUCGUUUAUUUGAUUGUACAUUUACUACAUGGAUACCUGUGGUAAUUCUAGAGCUAAUACAUGCGAAAAGUCCCGACUUCUGGAAGGGAUGUAUUUAUUAGAUUAAAAACCAAUACGGGUCAAACCGUUCUAUUGGUGAUUCAUGAUAACUUAUCGAAUCGCAUGGCUCACGCCGGCGACGUUUCAUUCAAAUUUCUGCCCUAUCAACUUUCGAUGGUAAGGUAUUGGCUUACCAUGGUUACAACGGGUAACGGAGAAUUAGGGUUCGAUUCCGGAGAGGGAGCCUGAGAAACGGCUACCACUUCCAAGGAAGGCAGCAGGUGCGCAAAUUACCCAAUCCUGACACAGGGAGGUAGUGACAAAAAAUAACAAUACAGGACUUUUAAAGCCUUGUAAUUGGAAUGAGUACAAUUUAAACCCCUUAACGAGUAACAAUU
rnacentral:rRNA from 1 species